GAUGAACGCUAGCGACAGGCUUAACACAUGCAAGUCGAGGGGUAACAGGGUAGCAAUACCGCUGACGACCGGCGCACGGGUGAGUAACGCGUAUGCAACCUGCCUAUAACUGGGGAAUAGCUCCCUGAAAGGGGAAUUAACACCGCAUAACACUAUUGAUUCGCAUGGAUUGGUAGUUAAAUGUAGCGAUACAGGUUAUAGAUGGGCAUGCGUGACAUUAGCUAGUUGGUGAGGUAACGGCUCACCAAGGCUACGAUGUCUAGGGGUUCUGAGAGGAAGGUCCCCCACACUGGUACUGAGACACGGACCAGACUCCUACGGGAGGCAGCAGUGAGGAAUAUUGGUCAAUGGGCGCAAGCCUGAACCAGCCAUGUCGCGUGCAGGAAGACUGCCCUAUGGGUUGUAAACUGCUUUUAUAGUAGAAGAAACACAUCUACGAGUAGAUGUCUGCCAGUAUACUAUGAAUAAGCAUCGG
rnacentral:rRNA from 1 species